rnacentral:lncRNA from 1 species
GUAUUGGUUGGAUUGAUAACAUAGUUAGUUAAUUUGUAAAUUAUUCAUAAAUUAUUGAAAAUUCGAAUAAAAUAGUCUAUAUGCGAUUUAUUUCUAAAAAUUCAGAAUAAAAUGCAAAUUUUUUUAUUAGAUUUAUUAUUCGCGAAUAAUUCGCGUAUUCUGAACUAUUCGGCCAAAAAAACGCACAAAAUUUUUGAAUAAAAUUUCUUUUCGGAUUAUUGCCGAAUUAUUCACGAAUUAGUUGCGAAUUAUUGAAAAACUUCAAGAACUUCCGGAAUUUGUGGAUCAUGAAAAAGAUGAAGAAGGAGAUGAUAAUAAAAUUUGCUAUUGCUUUUUUUACUUAAUUUGCUUUAUUUUGUAAACUCUCUAUUGUUAUAUUCUUAAGAAUUUAUAACUAUAUAUACUGGUAACAUAAAUUAAGAGAAAAAAGAUUAGUUUAAUGGCUGAAUUUUUUAUCGUGAAUUUUUAAUUGGUUAACGUAUAAUUUUCAUAUAAAUCGCGUAUCCGAAUAAUUGGCGAAUUCGUUUUUUAAGCUGUAUUUUUCAACGAAUUUAAAAAUUAAGAUACAAAUUUUAUUCGAAUUAUAAUAGUACUAAAUUUUUGCCGAAUCCGAAUUAACUAACUAUGGUUGGGAACCAACACUAACUAAUUAACCUUCAUAAAAUACCAAUAUCCAUAUGUACUUAAUCUGUAGCAUAGUUAGUUAAUUUAAGGGGCAAUUGCCUAUAUACCCCUGAAAAGUUCCCGAUUUUCUUAUUUACCCCUCUUAGAAGGCUAAUAUUGAAAAUACCCUUCUUAUGUUCCAAGUUUUUCUAAAAUACCCCUAGAGUUAAGUUCCGUUAGUGAGCUGCCGUUAGCUCUGAAAAAUUACCAUUUUGCCCAUUCCAAUAUACCCUUGUACCGUAACAAACUUUUCUUAUAUACCCUUCAUAUAGCAAAUACUUUUCUUAUUUACCCUUCAGCCGGAUCCGGAGCAGAAGGCGUGCAGGGGUCCGAUGGAGCUGCGGCCCUCUUGCUCCUGGCGCCGGCCAAGGCAGCGGAUGAGGAGAAGGACGACGAGAGCGGCGAGAGAUGGGAUCGUCGCUGCGGCCCUCUUGCUCCCGGCGCCGGCCAAGGCGGCGGAGGAAGAGGACGACGGCGACGACGAGAGCGGCGGCGGAGGAGGACAACGAGAGCGACGAGAUGGGUGGUGUUGGAGGUGGAGGUGUGGGAGGUGGUGGUGGUCUGGGAGGAGAUGAGGCGAGGAGGUGAGGAAGAGGCGGAGGAGCCGGCCGGUGGUGGCGGAGGAGUCGGCCGGUGGUGGCGACAAAAUUGGGGAAGAAAGAGAGGAUAAUCUUAGGGAUUACUAUAAUAAAGUAGGGGCAAAAUAGGUAUUUUGUUCAGGUUUUAACUCUAGUAUAGAUUUAACCCAUGUUUAACCCGAGUUAAGCUAACAGGGGAUAACUGCGGGGGUAUUUUGGAAUAACGGUGGAACGUAUGAGGGACAUUUUAGAAAGAAAAAAAAAGUAGGGGUAGAUCGAAUAUUUCCGGAUGCAUGAAGGGUAUAUAGGCAAUUAUCCCUUAAUUUAAAUUGGGCAACAAUUUGGUACCGGUAUAAUAUGAAUUAAAUUUGUAUUCUAAUUUUUAAAUUCGUUAAAAGAAACGGCUUAAAAAACAGGUUUGCCAAUUAUUCGAAUACACAAUUUAUGCAGAAAUUAUACAUUCACCAAUUAAAACUUCGGAACAAAAAAUUCAGCUAUUAAAUUAAGUUUUUUUUUUUCUUCUAAAUUUAUGCUACUAGUACAAAUAAUUAAGAAUUAUAAAUUAAGUUUUUUUCUAGAUUUAUGCUACUAGUAUAAAUAAUUAUAAAUUCUUAAGUCUAUAAAAAUAGAGAGCUAUAAAAUAAAGUAGAUUAAGUAAAAAAAGCAAUAGCAAAAUUCAUUGUCGUCCAAAAGUUCAUAAAGUUUUUCAAUAAUCCGUGAAUAAUUCGCAAAUAAUUUGGCAAUAAUUCAGAAAUAAUGGAGAAAGGAAUUUUAUCCAAAAAUUCUAUGCGUUUUUGUUGGCCGAAUAAUUUGGCAUGCGUGAAUUAUUCGCGAAUAAUUAAUCUGGUCCAAAAAUUUGUGUUUAUUCUAAUUUUUUUUUGGAAUAAAUCGCAUACAGACUUUUUUAUUUGGGCUUUCAAAAAUUCACGAAUAAUUUA